rfam:Biomphalaria glabrata isolate BB02 unplaced genomic scaffold LGTN_random_Scaffold128, whole genome shotgun sequence.
ACACAGGUCCUUUUUAGUACCACUUAAAUAUUUAUUUUAAAAGUAGU